rnacentral:rRNA from 1 species
GAUGAACGCUGGCGGCGUGCCUAAUACAUGCAAGUCGAGCGAACAGACGAGGAGCUUGCUCCUCUGACGUUAGCGGCGGACGGGUGAGUAACACGUGGAUAACCUACCUAUAAGACUGGGCUAACUUCGGGAAACCGGAGCUAAUACCGGAUAAUAUAUUGAACAGCAUUGUUCAAUAGUGAAAUUCGGUUUUUCUGUCACUUAUAGAUGGAUCCGCGCCGCAUUAGCUAGUUGGUAAGGUAACUGCUUACCAAGGCAACGAUGCGUAGCCGACCUGAGCGCGUGAUCGGCCACCCGGGAAGUGAGAAAGGGCAGCGACUCCUACGGGAGGACGCAGCCGGGACUCUUACGCAAUGGGCCAGAGCUUGACGGAGCACCGCCGCGUGAGGGAUGAAGGUGUUCGGCUCGGAAAGCGAUGUUAUCAGGGAAGAACAAAAGUGUAAGUACCUAUGAUCGUCUUGACGGUACCGAGUCAGAAAGCCCCGGCUAACUACGUG